UAUUCUCACAGCACAGCCGCUUAUUCUCACAGCAGCUUUUUUUCAAAGCACAGCAAUACCAAACCAGCCCUUACUCUCUCUUCGGAGGCUGCUGCUGUUACACUUGCUGUAUGAGAAGAAAGUUGCGGGAAUUUUUUAACAUAGAGGGAAGUUGCUGUGACGACCUUCUUACUCACCUCAUGUGCUGCUGUUGUGCACUGGUUCAAGAGCGACGAGAACUCGAACUCAGAAACUUUGAAGGUUGCAACGGAAGAAAGAUGGUUCCUCCACCAUUCCAAUGGAUGAAGCCUUAAGUGCCUUGUAUGAAAUGGACUUGCCACAAACGAGGAAUGCGGGUUAGGUCAAUUAGCUAAAAGGCAAUGCGCUCUAAAUCGCCUUCUUCAUAUACUAAAAAAGUUGAGGGUAGAAUCUUGUCUUGUAAAAUGAAAAAUCAAUAUCAAUAUUAAGUGUAUUGUAUUCAUUUUUUGGGCCUUAACACCUUCGAGAAAUUCUUAUAUCUGACUGCUCGUAUAUCCAAGAGUCUCACCGUCGUCCACUUCUGGCGAGCAUGCUGUCGAGUACAAGCAGUUGGACAUAGGGUUUUCUCGAAAACCUUGCAUUGCAUCUCCUUUAGUUUGAAAAUAUCAUGUCAAAUAAGCCAUUUUCUCUGGCUCAAGGGUGAGAGAGAUGCGAAUCCUAAGUUUUGUGUGAAGUGGAUUAGCAGGAUGAGCUAAUGAAAGCCGUAUGAUUUAAAAUGAUUAGUCCGAAUCACUGGAUCCGCUAGAGAAAAUAUGGCUCAAAUCGUUGCUCCCCUUUCAUUUUUUU